GGCAAAUCAUGGGUCUGUUAUGCACACUGUAUCAGGGUAGAGUUUGAAGGAACAUGAGCAGUUCGAUUGUAUCUAUUUCCAUCUUGUUUUGCUCUGCAGAAUGACUGCCUGAAUAAGAAAUUCCAUGGGAAAUCACGAGAAAGAGCUAGAGUCAUAUAUACAAAAUACCAUUUGGCACCAUAAGGAAUGGGUUUGGAACAACUGGAUAUACUUCCACCCCAGGAAUUUCCAGGACAUCUGAAAUAACUAUUUCCUACAUGAGCGUCUUUCCCUCCCACCUCUUCUCUGCAAUCCCUAGAUUUAAGGGAUUAAUUACUGGGCAGACCAUACAUCAGUAUCUCUGGACACCAGGAAACAGCCUAUAUAGAAUUGGAAGAAGAGAGAGAAAGAAAAUGAGCAGCUAAAUUGUGGUCACAUAAGAAAAAUAUACCUAUUUUCAACUUUUUCACACUUGAAAUAGUCUAUCCUCAAGCUGAGUAAUUAUCUUACUUUAUUCAAACCAAACUGAAAGGAAAGGUUAGGACAUUAAUAUUCUAGAUCUAUAUUGUGGAUGAAUCGGCAUGUCAGAUCUUUCCAAGAUACGGUUAUCCUUUUACCAGUGAAAUGAUACAAAGUAAAAUAUACGCUUUGGCAUUUCGGAGGAAAUCUCAUUAUACGCAACUCGGGAUCAUUGAGAC
ensembl:lncRNA